UGACUAAGGUGUGGAACCUCAGCAAAGCCAGAACAGUUCUCACUUAUGUUUCCAACUCCAGCGCAAUUCAACACUGUUGGACACAGUAUACUACCUCCACCCAACAACUAGGCAAGAUGCCAUGAUAUCGUCACUGGGAAUGCUGUUCAGCACUAAAUUUCAGAACUGCUCACCUUACUUCAUCUACUGACAAAUGCAAGUCAACAUCAGCAGAAAACUGAACUACGGAGACACAGCGACAAAGUGAGACAGAGAGAACCACUGAAGACUUAGCUUCCUCCAUCAUUCUACCAGGCAGAAAAUACCACAGCUACAAGCAGGACUGGCAGAGAGUGAAAGGCAGGUCCCAGCACUUGUGGUCUCCAUAUCUGCACAAGGCUAAUUCCAUCAACUGGACUAAACAGGAAGGCAAUUCCUGCCCCUACCCAGAGACAAACACCAUGCCAAGGGGAACUUUACAUUUGUUGGUGACUGAGAAUGUCUGAAGCCCAGUUGCAGCGUGGCAGGCAGAACACAAGACGGCUUUGUUGUUUUGUCGUGGUACCAGUGUCAGAAGGAGGAGCAGAGGCUGCAAAUCUGAAAGGCUGGGUGUGUGGCUAGUUAGUUGUUUGCUGUCUUCAGCUCCAAAUCCAUCCUUCUAGGUGCUGAUUUGUGCGGUGGGGGCCAGGCUGUGCAAACUGCACACUUCCUUUGCCAGCUGAAUCCCGAGUAGGCUCCUCCAGCCGGGGAAAUGUAAGACGGCAGGGAAGGGGAGAAGGGGCUGCUUUGUUGUAGCACUGCGUCCUGGAAGCCCAGGUGAUGCCAACCUCCCCAUCCACUGACACUCUCAGAACAACCUCGCCUAACUCACGGCUAAUCCUGAGGGCACAGCAGUUAACGAGCCAGAAAUAGCCUCUAUCUUCAAAGUACUUAAAACCCAGCACAGAAAAGAGGCACUGAAUAAAUAAAGAACUGUGGUCACUACCAUGACACACACAGAUUCUCAAGACAGCCAUUUGCGGAAGGUCUGCUCCAAAGCCCCACUGUCCAUAAGAUGGUUACAUGCAGGCAUUUCUGGCUAGGGACAUAAAUACAUAAAAGUAAUGGUAGCAAAAACAUUCAGAGGGCCAACUUUGUGUCAUCUGAAGUCGAUUCACCUUUAAAGAAGGUUGGUGUGCAUAUGCAAGAUAUUUUAAAUCAUCCUGCAUUAUAGAAUUUUAAUAUUACCCUUUUAUUCACUUAGUCACUCAAAAAAUGCUCUCAGCAUUGAGGUGCCGAGGACUCCGUCAUGAAGAAGGCAAAGCCAUGCCUUCAUGGAGCUUACAUUACAGACAGGGGAUACCAUGAUUAGCAGCUAAAUAAUACAACAGUAAGAACGCAGAUGAUGCCAAGUUCCAUGAAAAAAAUAAACCGAAAAGUGGAGGGUGAGUAGGUCCAGAGGGUGCGCUGUUUUGUGCAGAGUGGGAGGAGGAAGUUGUUUUGCAUAGAGACUCUGAGGAUGGGAAGGAAUGAGUCCUGAGAAAGAUCUGGAACAAAGGCUUCCAAGCAGAGAGAAAAAGCUACAAAGAAUGGCUUUCACCCCAGAUAGCUCAC